rfam:Oryctolagus cuniculus chromosome 1, whole genome shotgun sequence.
GGAGCUGUGGCACAGUGGGUUAAUGUGCUGGCCUGAAGUGCCGGCAUCCCAUAUGGGCACCGGUUCUAGUCCUGGCUGCUCCU